UAGAUACAUACUCAAAUCUUAAACAACUUAUAUAACAGAUUUUAGAAAAUAGAAGUUAUACGAAUCUCCUAAAAUAUAGUAACCAAAUCUAACAUCAUCAUCAAAUGCAACCAUAAUAUUAGGCAUAUGACAUAUUCACGAAGAAAAAUCUUCCAAUAAUAAAAUAUAAAACACUAAUUAUAUAUAUGAUUCUCCUUAGAUAACGUAACCGAAUUAAACCUCAUCACUAAAAGGAACAAUAAAAGCAUGCAUAUGCCAUAUUUUGAAUUUGUGUAGAUACGAUUUGCAUAAUUCUUCCCGGCGUAAAUCGAAAACCCUCACCCUACCUCAAUUAUUAUAAAUAUAGAGGAUACUUCUAUCGAAAAAUUCACAAAAAUACCUAUGGCUUCUAAUAUGAUAUUUUCUGCUAUCAAAGAUUUGAUUCCUUGGAAAAUAACUUGGGCAGUGCGUGUGAAGGUGCUAUACACAUAGAAACAACAAACAAGCGACUCGAUGGAGAUCAUAUUAGCUGAUGAGAAUUUAAUGUAUAGUGGAAUUUUUCUUCAAAAGGUACACUAAGGACACAUCACUUACAAUGUUUCAAGUUGCUUCAAAGAACCUUUCGAACAAUGCUCUUCCUUGGAUCUCAGUCACCGUCAGAAGGUAAACGGCGGCUUUUCCGGACUCGAUCAUGCUCUUUCCGCUGCCAAAACACUAGACAGAAAACUACUGUUAACGAUCAUAUUAAAGAGGGAAUUUCACUGUCAAUUCAUACCUUCAGUCUUUUUUUUUUUAAAUACUCAUAAAUCCUCCGGUCUUUUUGUUAUAUAAUUGGUAACUCUAUGCUUGGUUCUCCGACAUAAAUCCUGAGACCAUUUGUA